ACCAAGCCACAAGCUUGUCAUUCAAAAUCAAAAUAUACACAUUAAUAUAGUGAGCCAAAAAAUGGCUUCGAAAAGAAAUGUAUUCAUUGCUGUGUUCUUAGUUACGGUGCUUCUCAUUUCCUCGGAAGUUGCAGACACUAGAGAACUCACUCAGACGUCUAAUACAGUGGCGUCAAAGGAGCAUGAGAAGAAAGGUGAUGAUGGCAUAGGAGCUGAUACGUAUGCGUAUGACUGUGCGUUCGGUUGUUGUGGUCGUGGACCUCGUGGUGCCGGUACUGAUACAUACGCGUAUUGCCGCUGCUGCCGCCGUUGAUAAACCACUUCAAAUCUCAGCCUCCAGCCCACCCACAUAAAUAAAUUGCAUUCUUUUUUUUUCUUUUUCUUUUUCUUUUUUAAUCUUUAUACAAGUGAUAAAUACGUUUGUUUGUGGUAUGAGUUAGUUUGUUUAAGAACUAUAGAACACCUCAAUUUGCUUCAUUAUCAAUAAAAUGGAGGAAGAUUGCAAUA